AAAUCAACAACACAACUUGAUUAAGGCUUCGUUUGACAUUGCGGAAAAAGUGCAUUACGUGCGGUAAAAAACGACGAUGAAAAAAUACCUGUUUUUAUAUUUCGUACGUAGUAUUACAUUUCGCAUAUUUUCUGCGGUCACAUUAGAAAACGCAGAAGCAUAUUCUUAUAUACUUUUUCUCAACUCUACUCUAUUCCUAUAUGUUUUUUCUCAACUCUACUAUAUCUAAUAGCGUUAAAUCCAUCUCGGUACCAAACUAAGCCUAAAACAAACUUCCACACGCGAAUUUGAUACCAUUAU
rnacentral:lncRNA from 1 species